UACAGAGGGGGCAAGCGUUGUUCGGAAUUACUGGGCGUAAAGGGCGCGUAGGCGGCCUGCUAAGUCGAACGUGAAAUCCCUGGGCUCAACCCAGGAACUGCGUCCGAAACUGCAGAGCUUGAGUGCCGGAGAGGGUGGCGGAAUUCCCCAAGUAGAGGUGAAAUUCGUAGAUAUGGGGAGGAACACCGGUGGCGAAGGCGGCCACCUGGACGGUAACUGACGCUGAGACGCGAAAGCGUGGGGAGCAAACAGG
rnacentral:rRNA from 1 species